rnacentral:rRNA from 1 species
AAUCAACGCUGGCGGCGUGCCUCAGACAUGCAAGUCGAACGCGAAAGUUCCCUUCGGGGGGCAAGUAGAGUGGCGCACGGGUGAGUAACACGUAGGUAAUCUACCUUUGGAUGGGGAAUAACAACCGGAAACGGUUGCUAAUACCGCAUAAUGCAGCGGCACCUAAUGGUGACAGUUGUUAAAGCGGGGGAUCGAAAGACCUCGCGUCUGAAGAGGAGCCUGCGGCGGAUAGCUAGUUGGUAGGGUAACGGCCUACCAAGGCUACGAUCCGUAGCCGGCCUGAGAGGGCGGUCGGCCACACUGACACUGACAUACGGGUCAGACUCCUACGGGAGGCAGCAGUCGGGAAUUUUGGGC